UCGCACUGGCGCUUUCUCCAACGGGUCCUAAAUUCUACAUGUUCGAUAGAGUGGAACUGCUGCAUAGGGACACUGGAUAGAAAUCAUACCAUUCAGGAGGGCGUUUGUUCAGGUUGAAUUCACGGGAGUGGAGAAGCAAGCCAACGGCAAUCCCCUGAAAGCUGCGUUGUCUAGAAAGAGCCCUUGAACCGACCCCCCUCCUUCAUCAUAGUCUCCCUCGCAGUGUUCAUCCAGCCGGACAGCGGAUGGUGUUUAUCUUACACCCCCAAGAGGAGUACUGAGGCCAUCGUCCUCAUCCUCUUCAUCAGUUUCGCUUCUCAGGAGUGGUACCCGGAGAUGAAUUCCUACAGUCGACAAGUAACUGUGUGCUGGCUGUCUGGAUCCACGAUGUCUCUCUUCCCAACCCUAAGCACACAGCCAAGACAACGCUGGCCUCCACAAUCACCUGACCUCAACCCAA